rnacentral:lncRNA from 1 species
GUGUUUGUGCGACUAGAAGAGGGCAAGGGAAGAACAAACCCUAAACAACACAAAUCAAUCAAAUUGAAAGGGGAUUUGAGGGCUAAAUGAAUGCAUGAACCAAGAAUGUUGAUCCCUUAAGUGUUUCUAACAUCAAAUAUCAUAACGUACAAUAAGGAUUGUGAAAGUGAUGUUUAUGAAAGCUAAAGUAUGAAGUUAUGACAUAUAGGCACGAAGAAAGAAGAAGGCGCAAGUCACUCGAAAUCACAAGCAUCUCAAGAUCGCGUAUAAUUUCCCUUUAUGAAUCAUGA